CCUACGGGUGGCAGCAGUGAGGAAUAUUGGUCAAUGGACGAGAGUCUGAACCAGCCAAGUAGCGUGAAGGAUGACUGCCCUAUGGGUUGUAAACUUCUUUUAUAAAUGAAUAAAACGAGGCACGUGUGCCUUUUUGCAUGUACUUUAUGAAUAAGGAUCGGCUAACUCAGUGCCAGCAUCCGCGGUAAUACGGAGGAUCCGAGCGUUAUCCGGAUUUCUUGGGUGUAAAGGGAGCGUAGAUGGGUUGUUAAGUCAGUUGUGAAAGUUUGCGGCUCAACCGGAAAAUUGCAAUUGAUACUGGCAGUCUUGAGUACAGUUGAGGUAGGCGGAAUUCGUGGGGUAGCGGUGAAAUGCUUAGAUAUCACGAAGAACCCCGAUUGCGAAGGCAGCUUACUAAACUGUGACUGACAUUGAUGCUCGAAAGUGUGGGUAUCAAACAGGAUUAGAUACCCCUGUAGUC
rnacentral:rRNA from 1 species